rnacentral:misc_RNA from 1 species
UCCUGCUUAUCACAGGCAGUUUCCUUAGAGUUCCCGGCAUGAUCCGCUGGCAACUAAGGACAGGGGUUGCGCUCGUUGCGCCACUUAAGGCAACACCUCACGGCACGAGCUGACGACAGCCAUGCACCACCUGUGCGGGCUCCGAAGAGCGCCGUGUUUCCACGGUUUCACCCCGCAUGUCAAGCCCAGGUAAGGUUCUUCGCGUCGCAUCGAAUUAAGCCACAUGCUCCACCGCUUGUGCAGGCCCCCGUCAAUUUCUUUGAGUUUUAAUCUUGCGACCGUACUCCCCAGGCGGCAUGUUUAUCGCGUUAGCUUCGCCACAAAAGGGGUCGAUUCCUUUUACAGCAAACAUGCACCGUUUACAGCUAGGACUAC